CUGGCGGCGUGCCUAAUACAUGCAAGUCGAGCGGACAGAAGGGAGCUUGCUCCCGGAUGUUAGCGGCGGACGGGUGAGUAACACGUGGGUAACCUGCCUGUAAGACUGGGAUAACUCCGGGAAACCGGAGCUAAUACCGGAUAGUUCCUUGAACCGCAUGGUUCAAGGAUGAAAGACGGUUUCGGCUGUCACUUACAGAUGGACCCGCGGCGCAUUAGCUAGUUGGUGAGGUAACGGCUCACCAAGGCGACGAUGCGUAGCCGACCUGAGAGGGUGAUCGGCCACACUGGGACUGAGACACGGCCCAGACUCCUACGGGAGGCAGCAGUAGGGAAUCUUCCGCAAUGGACGAAAGUCUGACGGAGCAACGCCGCGUGAGUGAUGAAGGUUUUCGGAUCGUAAAGCUCUGUUGUUAGGGAAGAACAAGUGCAAGAGUAACUGCUUGCACCUUGACGGUACCUAACCAGAAAGCCACGGCUAACUACGUGCCAGCAGCCGCGGUAAUACGUAGGUGGCAAGCGUUGUCCGGAAUUAUUGGGCGUAAAGGGCUCGCAGGCGGUUUCUUAAGUCUGAUGUGAAAGCCCCCGGCUCAACCGGGGAGGGUCAUUGGAAACUGGGAAACUUGAGUGCAGAAGAGGAGAGUGGAAUUCCACGUGUAGCGGUGAAAUGCGUAGAGAUGUGGAGGAACACCAGUGGCGAAGGCGACUCUCUGGUCUGUAACUGACGCUGAGGAGCGAAAGCGUGGGGAGCGAACAGGAUUAGAUACCCUGGUAGUCCACGCCGUAAACGAUGAGUGCUAAGUGUUAGGGGGUUUCCGCCCCUUAGUGCUGCAGCUAACGCAUUAAGCACUCCGCCUGGGGAGUACGGUCGCAAGACUGAAACUCAAAGGAAUUGACGGGGGCCCGCACAAGCGGUGGAGCAUGUGGUUUAAUUCGAAGCAACGCGAAGAACCUUACCAGGUCUUGACAUCCUCUGACAACCCUAGAGAUAGGGCUUUCCCUUCGGGGACAGAGUGACAGGUGGUGCAUGGUUGUCGUCAGCUCGUGUCGUGAGAUGUUGGGUUAAG
rnacentral:rRNA from 1 species